AUACGGAGGAUCCGAGCGUUAUCCGGAUUUAUUGGGUUUAAAGGGUGCGCAGGCGGGGGAUUAAGUCGUCGGUGGAAUUUUUCCGCUCAACUGUAAAAAUGCCUUCGAAACUGGUUUCCUUGUGUGUAGAUGAAGUAGGGGGAAUUUGUGGUGUAGCGGUGUAAUGCAUAGAUAUCACGAGGAAAUCCGAUUGCGCAGGCAGCUUACUAAACUACUACUGACGCUCAGGCACGAAGGCGUGGGGAUCAAACAGGAUUAGAUACCCUGGUAGUCCACGCAGUAAACGAUGAUUACUAGCUGUUUGCGAUACAAUGUAAGCGGCUGAGCGAAAGCGUUAAGUAAUCCACCUGGGGAGUACGUUCGCAAGAAUGAAACUCAAAUGAAUUGGCGGGG
rnacentral:rRNA from 1 species